GAUGAACGCUGGCGGCGUGCCUAAUACAUGCAAGUCGAGCGAACAGACGAGGAGCUUGCUCCUCUGACGUUAGCGGCGGACGGGUGAGUAACACGUGGAUAACCUACCUAUAAGACCGGGAUAACUUCGGGAAACCGGAGCUAAUACCGGAUAAUAUAUUGAACCGCAUGGUUCAAUAGUGAAAGACGGUUUUGCUGUCACUUAUAGAUGGAUCCGCGCCGCAUUAGCUAGUUGGUAAGGUAACGGCUUACCAAGGCAACGAUGCGUAGCCGACCUGAGAGGGUGGUCGGCCACACUGGAACUGAGACACGGUCCAGACUCCUACGGGAGGCAGCAGUAGGGAAUCUUCCGCAAUGGGCGAAAGCCUGACGGAGCAACGCCGCGUGAGUGAUGAAGGUCUUCGGAUCGUAAAACUCUGUUAUUAGGGAAGAACAAAUGUGUAAGUAACUAUGCACGUCUUGACGGUACCUAAUCAGAAAGCCACGGCUAACUACGUG
rnacentral:rRNA from 1 species